CUACCACUUCUACGGAGGGCAGCAGGCGCGCAAAUUGCCCAAUGUCAAAAAAAAACGAUGAGGCAGCGAAAAGAAAUAGAGCCGGCAGUGCCAAUGGCAUUGCCGUUUUCAAUGGGGGAUAUCUAAACCCAUCCAAAAUCGAGUAUCAAUUGGAGGACAAGUCUGGUGCCAGCACCCGCGGUAA
rnacentral:rRNA from 1 species